GACGAACGCUGGCGGCGUGCCUAAUACAUGCAAGUCGAACGCAGUGGGGACGGGUGAGUAACACGUGGUUCCCCUCCCAUCAGAGGGGAUAACACUUGGAAACAGGUUCUAAACCUAUACUGAUGGAUGUCCCCGCGGUGCAUUAGCUAGUUGGUGAGGUCACGGCUCACCAAGGCCACGAUGCAUAGCCGACCUGAGAGGGUGCUCGGCCACACUGGGACGGAGACACGGCCCAGACUCCUACGGGAGGAAGCAGUAGGGAAUCUUCGGCAAUGGACGAAAGUCUGACCGAGCAACGCCGCGUGAGUGAAGAAGGUUUUCGGAUCGUAAAACUCUGUUGUUAGAGAAGCGGUAUCUAACCAGAAAGCCACGGCUAACUACGUGCCAGCCGCCGCGGUAAUAC
rnacentral:rRNA from 1 species